rnacentral:rRNA from 1 species
GCACAAGCAGUGGAGUAUGUGGUUUAAUUCGACGCAACGCGAAGAACCUUACCAAGUCUUGACAUCCCUUGACAGGCAUAGAAAUAUGUUUUCUCUUCGGAGCAAGGAGACAGGUGGUGCAUGGUUGUCGUCAGCUCGUGUCGUGAGAUGUUGGGUUAAGUCCCGCAACGAGCGCAACCCUUAUGGUCAGUUACUACGCAA